AUUCUACCCAUGUGGGGAAGGAUGAGAAGCUUCGACUAAGGUUCGAUUCGAGCGCAGCGAGAAAGCGUUGCCGCAGGCAACG
rnacentral:sRNA from 3 species